AAUUUCCAAAUACUAAUUAUAAAUAUGACGAGACAGCGUCUAUGCUUUAUAUAGUUUAGGAGCCAUUCGAUCGUAUUCACUAAAUCGAUCUGUCGUCAUUCAAUGUGUGUGCUUUAAAGGUUUACAAGGUUAAAGACAAUUACAGGACAUGAUGUUGAAAUGUGUGGGUGUUUAGUUUGUAGUGACUAUCAUAAUAAUGUUCGUAAGUAGGGU